rnacentral:rRNA from 1 species
CUACGGAGGGUGCAAGCGUUGUCCGGAUUUAUUGGGUUUAAAGGGUGCGUAGGUGGUUUUUUAAGUCAGUGGUGAAAGCCUACAGCUUAACUGUAGAGGUGCCAUUGAUACUGGGGAACUUGAGUAUGGACGAGGUAGGCGGAAUUUGUGGUGUAGCGGUGAAAUGCAUAGAUACCACAAGGAACACCGAUAGCGAAGGCAGCUUACUGGGCCAUAACUGACACUGAGGCACGAAAGCGUGGGGAGCGAACAGGAUUAGAUACCCUAGUAGUCC